rnacentral:rRNA from 1 species
AAUGAACGUUGGCGGCGUGGAUUAGGCAUGCAAGUCGAGCGCGAGUCUCUUUCGGGAGACAAAAGCGGCGAAAGGGACAGUAUAAAGUAGAUACAUACCCAGGGGUUCGGGAUAGCUGCGGGAAACUGCAGGUAAUACCGAAUAACAUCUCCGGAUCAAAGGUGUGAUUCCGCCCUUGGAUUGGUCUUCUCCCUAUUAGCUAGUUGGUGAGGUAAUGGCUCACCAAGGCGAUGAUGGGUAGCGGGUGUGAGAGCACGACCCGCGUCACUGGGACUGAGACACUGCCCAGACACCUACGGGUGGCUGCAGUCGAGGAUCUUCGGCAAUGGGCGCAAGCCUGACCGAGCGACGCCGCGUGGGGGAUGAAGGCCUUCGGGUUGUAAACCUCUGUCAGAGCGGAGGAAAUGUAUUGGGGUUCUCCCCAGUAUUUGACCUAUGCUCAGAGGAAGUACGGGCUAAGUUCGUGCCAGCCGCCGCGGUAACAC